UACAAUAACGUGAAUCCUGAAUCUUUUUCAUGUGUCACAUGGAGCCAGUCUCAGAGAACCAGUCAGAUCCCUGCCACAGUCCAGACUGUCAGCCAGGAUGAAAAUCAGCAGCACAUAUACUACUCUCUUCUCCACGGUGAUGCUUGUGUCUAUGAGUCACUCAGAGGUCCUGAAAACACUGGAGAUGUUGGACGGGCCGGUGUCUCCACAAAUGUCAAAUCUCAGACUGAGCUCAGAGAUGUUGGACAGAGGAGAAAACGAGGUGAUCCAGGGAAGAGCUCCGACUACUAGAAUGUGAAUCCAGACUCAUCUACAGGUCCAUAAAGAGAAGUGCAUCAUCAAUGAAACAAGACAAGUCUGGACAACAACAUGAAAAACAACAUUGAUCUGUAAACAUGUGUUUGAUGACAUUUAUUCAACUGCUGCCAUCCAGACAUCAGACACACAGUCAUUAAUGAAGAUCAGAUGAAAGAAUGACCUCAUCUGGAUUUAAUGUCUGUAUCAAUGUCAACACUGAUGAUACUGUCUGAUUAUUAUAUCUAUUGUUGUUGCAUUGAUGUGGUCAAUCUGCAGGUUAAAUACACCAUCUAUCUAUAGACUGUAACAUGAUGUAUAUUCUACUUUAUUUCUGUUUAGUCUCAUCAAUAACUCAGUUCAUUAAA